rnacentral:rRNA from 1 species
GUACUGUGAAGGAAAGGUGAAAAGCACUUCGAAUAGAAGGGUGAAAUAGAACCUGAAACCGUACGCCUACAAGCGGUCGGAGCCCACAAGUUGGGUGACGGCGUGCCUUUUGCAUAAUGAGCCUACGAGUUACUCCUCACCGGCGAGGUUAAGUAUUGAAGAUACGGAGCCGAAGCGAAAGCGAGUCUGAACAGGGCGCUUAGUCGGUGGGGGUAGACGCGAAACCUUGUGAUCU